AGAUUGAACGCUGGCGGCAUGCCUUACACAUGCAAGUCGAACGGCAGCACGGGAGCAAUCCUGGUGGCGAGUGGCGAACGGGUGAGUAAUACAUCGGAACGUGCCCAGUAGUGGGGGAUAGCCCGGCGAAAGCCGGAUUAAUACCGCAUACGACCUACGGGUGAAAGCGGGGGAUCGCAAGACCUUGCGCUAUUGGAGCGGCCGAUGUCAGAUUAGGUUGUUGGUGGGUAAAGGCCUACCGAAGCCGACGAUCUGUAGCUGGUCUGAGAGGACGACCAGCCACACUGGGACUGAGACACGGCCCAGACUCCUACGGAGGCAGCAGGUGGGAAUUUUGGACAAGUGGGCGACAAGGCCUGACUCCAGCCAUGCCGCGUGACGGGAAGAAGGCCGUUCGGUUGUAAACCGUCGUUUUCGU
rnacentral:rRNA from 1 species